rnacentral:rRNA from 1 species
GACAGAGGGUGCAAACGUUGUUCGGAAUUACUGGGCGUAAAGCGCGUGUAGGCGGCAACGCAAGUCGGAUGUGAAAUCCCAUGGCUCAACCAUGGAAGUGCACCCGAAACUGCGUCGCUAGAGUCCUGGAGAGGAAGGUGGAAUGCUUGGUGUAGAGGUGAAAUUCGUAGAUAUCAAGCGGAACCCCGGUGGCGAAGGCGGCCUUCUGGACAGUGACUGACGCUGAGACGCGAAAGCGUGGGGAGCAAACAGG